rnacentral:rRNA from 1 species
GUAGGGNAACCUGCGGAGGGAUCAUUACAGAGUUCUAAAAGACUCCCAAAACCAUUGUGAACGUACCCGUCAGCGUUGCCUCGGCGGGCGGCCCCUCCCUGGGGCCGCUGCCUCCCUCGGGGGGUGCCCGCCGGCGUACCAAAACUCUUUUGUAUUUUAGUGGCCUCUCUGAGAAAACAAGCAAAUAAGUUAAAACUUUCAACAACGGAUCUCUUGGUUCUGGCAUCGAUGAAGAACGCAGCGAAAUGCGAUAAGUAAUGUGAAUUGCAGAAUUCAGUGAAUCAUCGAAUCUUUGAACGCACAUUGCGCCCGCCAGUACUCUGGCGGGCAUGCCUGUUCGAGCGUCAUUUCAACCCUCAAGCCCUGCUUGGUGUUGGGGUCCUACGGCUGCCGUAGGCCCUGAAAGCUAGUGGCGGGCUCGCUAUAACUCCGAGCGUAGUAGUAAAAUAUCUCGCUAGGGAGGUGUCGCGGGUUCCGGCCGUGAAAGCCCAUCUUUUACACAAGGUGACCUCG